rnacentral:rRNA from 1 species
UACGGAGGGGGCUAGCGUUGUUCGGAAUUACUGGGCGUAAAGCGCACGUAGGCGGCUUUGCAAGACAGAUGUGAAAUCCCCGGGCUCAACCUGGGAACUGCAUUUGUGACUGCAUGGCUAGAGUGCGGCAGAGGGGGAUGGAAUUCCGCGUGUAGCAGUGAAAUGCGUAGAUAUGCGGAGGAACACCGAUGGCGAAGGCAAUCCCCUGGGCCUGCACUGACGCUCAUGCACGAAAGCGUGGGGAGCAAACAGG